rnacentral:rRNA from 1 species
CCAAUAGCGUAUAUUAAAGUUGUUGCAGUUAAAAAGCUCGUAGUUGAAUUUCGGGGUCAGUAGGUUGGUCGUGCCACUGGUAUGUACUGGUCUCACUGAUUCCUCCUUCCUGAUGAGCUGUAAUGCCAUUAAUUUGGUGUUGCAGGGAAUCUGGACUGUUACUUUGAAAAAAUUAGAGUGUUUAAAGCAGGCUAACGCUUGAAUACAUUAGCAUGGAAUAAUGAAAUAGGACGUCCGAUCCUAUUUUGUUGGUUUCUAGGAUUGACGUAAUGAUUAAUAGGGAUAGUUGGGGGCAUUAGUAUUCAAUUGUCAGAGGUGAAAUUCUUGGAUUUAUUGAAGACUAACUACUGCGAAAGCAUUUGCCAAGGAUGUUUUCAUUAAUCAAGAACGAAAGUUAGGGGAUCGAAGACGAUCAGAUACCGUCGUAGUCUUAACCAUAAACUAUGCCGACUAGGGAUCGGAUGAUGUUAAUUUUUUAAUGACUCAUUCGGCGCCUUACG